UCUAGACGGGUGGGAGGGGAGGGGGGAGUGAGUUGGGGGGGGGUGUGGUCCGGAAGUAGUGGGUGUAAAGGGCUUGUAGGGGGGUUGGCGGGUCGGCGGUGAAAAUCCGGGGCUCAACCCCGGACGUGCAGGGGGUACGGGCAGACUAGAGUGUGGUAGGGGAGACUGGAAUUCCUGGUGUAGCGGUGAAAUGCGCAGAUAUCAGGAGGAACACCGAUGGCGAAGGCAGGUCUCUGGGCCACUACUGACGCUGAGAAGCGAAAGCAUGGGGAGCGAACAGGAUUAGAUACCCGGGUAGUC
rnacentral:rRNA from 1 species